CGUUUGGAGUCACCGAGGGCUCAUGACGACAGAUGACAAACUGCAACCCCACACGCCGUCUUCAAGAACCGAAGAACGGUGAACUAUAUAAGAUCUAUCCGUUGGACCAGUGACAACAGACCAACUUAAUAACUGAGAACCACAUAGUACAAACCAAAGAGACCAAUCGACAAGUCUCAACAAUGAACCUCAAACCUAGAACCAGAAAGAGGAUGACCAAAUGAAUCGCGGAUUGAAAAUAAUGCAGUGACAUAACCAUAGACGACACCGAUGCAA
rnacentral:lncRNA from 1 species